AUAAUAAUAAUAAUAAUAAUAAGUUCUUGGACUAAUUCCUGAUCUCUAUGUGUAGAUCUAAUUCCCGAUAAAAAAUAUCGCCAUAAGCUAGAAUCAAUUGACAUGGCUAAGCCAUGAGCAACAAAGACAAUGCUAGAAAUAAAAUCAUCCCCCUGCUUUUAUAUAGAAUCUCGUGCAAGGACAAGCCACCCCAAGUCUAAGCUACAUAGGGCGAUGCAUGAACCUUUUAAAUUAUGAUAUAUGCUUGAGGUAUGUUGAGAAUCUUGUCCCACAUGGAAUAAAUACGAAGAUGUGGAGUGACUUACAAGCAGGAAGUGUGGGCUCUAGCACAAGCCAAUUAGUUUUGUGCAACAUCAGCCCAUCUCUCCUCUCUGAUAAGUCCACAAUUAAGCCUAACACCUCUUUCCACAUUUAGGCCUACCCAUGGACCAUCAAUGAAAAUUUGAUAUGGUAUCAUAGCAAAAUAAAUUCAUCCUGGGUAAGCCAGUUUAGCUUGUGUUUUUUUCAGGUUUAAGGAUACCCAUGUUUCCAGGAUAUGUGCUUCUUCCCCAUCUCUUGUCAACUUUGUUCAAGUGUCAACUGAUUCAGGCCUAGUUACACACAAGGGUGGUGUUGAGAAUAAUGUCAUAAAUGAAAUAAAUACAAAGAUGUGGAGUGGCUUCAAGUUAGAAAAUGAGGGCUCUAGCACAAACCAAUUGGUUUCAUGCAACAUGAGCCCAUCUUCCCUUUCUUACAAGUCAACAAUUAAGCCCAACUCACCUUCCCACAUUUGAGUAUACACAUGGACCUUCAAUGAAAAUUUGAUAAGGUAAAAAAUUAAAGGACAAUAUAAAUGCAGGAUCUAUUGGAUGAUGACCAAAUGAUGACAACAGUAACCAAAUAUGACAAAGGACAAAAACAACUAGUACUUCUUUUUCCCUGCCAUCUAUAAAUGCAUACAAAGCAAUCUAGCAAGAACUCUACACAAAGAAAAAUAUAGCAAGAAAGAACCUGAAGCUGUUGCCUAUGUGUUG
rnacentral:misc_RNA from 1 species